UACGGAGGGAGCUAGCGUUGUUCGGAAUUACUGGGCGUAAAGCGCGCGUAGGCGGCUUUGUAAGUUAGAGGUGAAAGCCUGGAGCUCAACUUCAGAAUUGCCUUUAAGACUGCAUCGCUUGAAUCCGGGAGAGGUGAGUGGAAUUCCGAGUGCAGAGGUGAAAUUCGUAGAUAUUCGGAAGAACACCAGUGGCGAAGGCGGCUCACUGGACCGGCAUUGACGCUGAGGUGCGAAAGCGUGGGGAGCAAACAGG
rnacentral:rRNA from 1 species